AAGCUCGACGACGAGGACCUCGUGUCCUACAUCCUCGCCGGGCUCGACAUCGACUUUGAUCCUGUGGUUUCGGCGGUUGCAGCCCGCGUGGAACCAAUCUCCGUUGGUGAGUUGAUCAUUCAGCUCAUAAGUUUCGAGC
rnacentral:snoRNA from 1 species